GAUGAACGCUAGCGAUAGGCUUAACACAUGCAAGUCGAGGGGCAGCAUGGUCUUAGCUUGCUAAGGCUGAUGGCGACCGGCGCACGGGUGCGUAACGCGUAUGCAACUUGCCUCACAGAGGGGGAUAACCCGUCGAAAGACGGACUAAUACCGCGUACACUCUAUGUUGGGCAUCCAAUGUAGAGGAAAUGAAAUUCGCUGUGAGAUAGGCAUGCGUCCCAUUAGCUAGCUGGUGAGGUAACGGCUCACCAAGGCGACGAUGGGUAGGGGAACUGAGAGGUUGAACCCCCACACUGGUACUGAGACACGGACCAGACUCCUACGGGAGGCAGCAGUGAGGAAUAUUGGUCAAUGGGCGAGAGCCUGAACCAGCCAAGUCGCGUGAAGGAUGACUGUCUUAUGGAUUGUAAACUUCUUUUAUACGGGAAUAACAAGAGUCACGUGUGGCUCCCUGCAUGUACCGUAUGAAUAAGCAUCGGCUAACUCCGUG
rnacentral:rRNA from 1 species